ACUUGUCAUUUUAUCGAAGAA
ensembl:piRNA 21ur-2946 ncRNA